rnacentral:rRNA from 1 species
AUCUUUAAAAUCUAUUUUAAUUAUAAAUUAAUAAAACAAUUACUUUAGUGGAAAGUAUAAAAAUUAAGAUAUUCUAAUAAUUUGUACCUUUUGUAUAAUGGUUAUACUAAAAUUCUUUUGUUUAAAAUUACCCGAACUAAGAAGAGCUAACUUUUAAAUAGUAAUUUAGGACAACUAAAAUAACUAUGUUGAAUUAUGGUUAAAAAAUUAUUAGUUAGUAGUGAAAAACUCUCAAUUCUUAAGAUAUCUGGUAGUCUUGGAAAGGCAUUUAGUGCCUAGAAAGUUAUACAUAAAGUGAUUAGAUUUUAUGUAAUUAAUAUUUUAAUUCUUAUUUAUUUUUCUAUUGUUGAUCCUAACGAAAAUUUUUAACUACAAUUAAAUUUCUUAUUAUUUAAAUUUAUUCUUUUACGAGACAUAUUUAAUUAACUUUAAUUAAAUUUUAAAAUGUAUAAAUUAGUAGUAAUUAGACCAAAUAUUUUUAUACUUAAUUAAAAAUUUUAUCAAAAUUAGUAAUUUAUAAAUAGUUUAAAGGAACUCGGCAAAUAAGAAUUUCGACUGUUUAACAAAAACAUAGCUUUAGGAAUUAAUCUAAAGUCAAACCUGCUCAAUGUAUAAUUUUAUAAUAUAAGUAUAAAUAGCCGCGGUACUUUGACCGUGCUAAGGUAGCGCAAUAAAUUGGCUUUUAAUUGGAGUCAGGUAUGAAUGGAGUUACGGAAUUUAACUGUCUCUAGACUAAUUUUUUGAAAUUACUAUAUAGGUGAAAAAGCCUAUGUAAACAAAAUAGACGAGAAGACCCUUAGAGUUUUAUUUAAUGUAAGAUAUUCUUACGAUAAUUUAGUUGGGGCAACUUAGGAACAGAUAGUGUAAGUAACUUCCUAAAAUGUAAUUAUUCAACGAUUUUAGUAAAAUUAUAUAAACUACCUUAGGGAUAACAGCAUAAUUUAUUAUAUAAGUUUGUGACCUCGAUGUUGGACUAGGAAAUUAAAAGGCUAGCCGCUUUUUAAAAAGGUUCUGUUCGAACUAUAAAUCCUACAUGAUCUGAGUUCAGACCGGCGUAAGCCAGGUCAGAUUCAAUCUUUUUAACUUAAAAGUUUAGUACGAAAGGACCAAUUUUUAGUACAAAGAAU